rnacentral:rRNA from 1 species
GACGAACGCUGGCGGCGCGCCUAACACAUGCAAGUCGAACGGAGCUGAGAGAAGCUUGCUUUUCUUAGCUUAGUGGCGAACGGGUGAGUAACGCGUGAGUAACCUGCCCUGGAGUGGGGGACAACAUUUGGAAACGACUGCUAAUACCGCAUAAACCCACGAUACGGCAUCGGAUUGAGGGAAAGGGAUUUAUUCACUUCAGGAUGGACUCGCCGCCAAGUAGAUAGUAGGUGAGGUAACGGCCCACCAAGGCGACGAUGGGUCGCCGGACUGAGAGGUUGACCGGAACCAUUGCGACUGACACCAGGAGCAGACCCUUAGGGGAGGACGAAGGGGGGGCUAUUGCACAAUGGGGGAAACAAUGAGGCAGCCGGGUCGCAUGGAGGAAGAAGGUUUGAGGAUCGUAGACUCCAGUCGUUAGCGACGCUAAUGACGGUAACUAACCAGAAAGCACCGGCUAACUACGUG